rnacentral:rRNA from 1 species
GACGAACGCUGGCGGCGUGCUUAACACAUGCAAGUCGAACGGAAAGGCCCUGCUUUUGUGGGGUGCUCGAGUGGCGAACGGGUGAGUAACACGUGAGUAACCUGCCCUUGACUUUGGGAUAACUUCAGGAAACUGGGGCUAAUACCGGAUAGGAGCUCCUGCUGCAUGGUGGGGGUUGGAAAGUUUCGGCGGUUGGGGACGGACUCGCGGCUUAUCAGCUUGUUGGUGGGGUAGUGGCUUACCAAGGCUUUGACGGGUAGCCGGCCUGAGAGGGUGACCGGCCACAUUGGGACUGAGAUACGGCCCAGACUCCUACGGGAGGCAGCAGUGGGGAAUAUUGCACAAUGGGCGGAAGCCUGAUGCAGCAACGCCGCGUGCGGGAUGACGGCCUUCGGGUUGUAAACCGCUUUCGCCUGUGACGAAGCGUGAGUGACGGUAAUGGGUAAAGAAGCACCGGCUAACUACGUG